AUUGAACGCUGGCGGCAGGCCUAACACAUGCAAGUCGAACGAGUGGCGGACGGGUGAGUAAUGUCUGGGAAACUGCCUGAUGGAGGGGGAUAACUACUGGAAACGGUAGCUAAUACCGCAUACCAUCAGAUGUGCCCAGAUGGGAUUAGCUUGUUGGUGGGGUAACGGCUCACCAAGGCGACGAUCCCUAGCUGGUCUGAGAGGAUGAACAGUCACACUGUGACUGAGACAAGGUCCAUACUCAUACGGGAGGCAGCAGUGGGGAAUAUUGCACAAUGGGGGCAAGCCUGAUGCAGCCAGGCCGGGUGUAUGAAGAAGGCCUUCGGGUUGUAAAGGACUUUCAGCGGGGAGGCGUUACCCGCAGAAGAAGCAACGGCUAACCCCGGUCCAGCAGCCGCGGUAAUAC
rnacentral:rRNA from 1 species